rnacentral:rRNA from 1 species
AACGCGUGAGGAACCUGCCUCAAAGAGGGGGACAACAGUUGGAAACGACUGCUAAUACCGCAUAAGCCCACGGGUCGGCAUCGACCAGAGGGAAAAGGAGCAAUCCGCUUUGAGAUGGCCUCGCGUCCGAUUAGCUAGUUGGUGAGGUAACGGCCCACCAAGGCAACGAUCGGUAGCCGGACUGAGAGGUUGAACGGCCACAUUGGGACUGAGACACGGCCCAGACUCCUACGGGAGGCAGCAGUGGGGAAUAUUGCACAAUGGGGGAAACCCUGAUGCAGCGACGCCGCGUGGAGGAAGAAGGUCUUCGGAUUGUAAACUCCUGUUGUUGAGGAAGAUAAUGACGGUACUCAACAAGGAAGUGACGGCUAACUACGUGCCAGCAGCCGCGGUAAAACGUAGGUCACAAGCGUUGUCCGGAAUUACUGGGUGUAAAGGGAGCGCAGGCGGGAAGACAAGUUGGAAGUGAAAUCUAUGGGCUCAACCCAUAAACUGCUUUCAAAACUGUUUUUCUUGAGUAGUGCAGAGGUAGGCGGAAUUCCCGGUGUAGCGGUGGAAUGCGUAGAUAUCGGGAGGAACACCAGUGGCGAAGGCGGCCUACUGGGCACCAACUGACGCUGAGGCUCGAAAGUGUGGGUAGCAAACAGGAUUAGAUACCCUGGUAGUCCACACCGUAAACGAUGAUUACUAGGUGU